AAUAGACUGAAGAACAAGGAGAUGGAUAGAUAGAUGCUCUCACGCAUGGACAGGUGGACAGAUGGGUUGAUGAGUAAUAAGGAAAAAAGACGGGUAGAUAAAAAACACAGGGAAUGAUGUGUUUGAGUGGAAGAGAGUUCAUUCAUGGUGGUAGAGAGCCAUAUACUAACUUGCUUAAUCCCUGCGGUAGGAAUGUUCCAAGAUGUGUCCCUUAAACAUGGACCUUAGGGAGGGACUGCCCAGGCAGGUGGCCUGUUCUUUACAGGGCCCUCUAUGGGCUUUGGGUCUUCCCUGUGUCUGACCUCACAUGAAGAAUGAAAUCCCUGCCAAUAGCAAUGGUGCAUGCCUGUAAUCCCAGCACUCAGCAAGGCAGAGGCAGGCAGAUCUCUGUGAGUUGGAGGCCAGCCUGGUCAGUCAAGGACAGGACAGUCAAGGCUACACAGGGAAACCCUGUCUCCAAAAACUAAAACACAAACCAAAAAAUGAAAUCCCCAAACCUCUCUCCACACAGAACCAAACAACCAUCCCAGGAGAAAAGAGAAGAUUGUUUCCCCUGGGUCUGGAUGUUGUGAGCUGAGAGGCUCUUCUGCAGGCACUCCCCAUCUCCACCCCAUGGCUCACCCCCCUCCCCAUCAUGAAAUUCCACGGUGGCUGCUUCCUUCCUGCUUUUGAGGAAAAAACACUUUGUCUUAAGCUUCCGGUCCUCUGAGAGACAGGGGAUCUCUGUUUCCUCCGAUUGCACUGUCCUUGGGCCUUGGUGACUUGCCCCAACCCUCCAACAGAGCAGGAAGUGGCUCCAGACCUGAAGGACCCACACACAGAGGUCCUGUCCCAACCUCGCCCUAGAACAGAGGCUGGAAGCAGGAAGCUACGCUGUGGACCUGGAAUUUCCUGACAUGGAGAAUCCUCACACUUGUUUGUCCACACACUGGAGUGUUUCUUGGCUGUGUCCCUCCAGACAGAAGCUGGGCUAUGCAGGGACACAGCAGGAAUUUACAGUAUCUUGCCAUUGUGAUCUCCAAAGAGGCUCUUCCAAUGUCCGCACCCACCAACAGCAGGCAUCUCAGCGUCUCCACAACUGUACCAACACUUGGCAUUGUCAGCUUUACUUGUUGCUGAUCUGCUCAGUGUGAAAUGGUAUCUCGUUGUUCUGCUCUGCAUUUCUCUGAUUCCUCCAGGGGCUGAGAUACCUCUUCCUCCACUCAUCGGCCACUGCGCAUGUGGAACACCCUGGAAACCCUUUGCUUAUUUUCCCAUCAGUUAUUGUCUUUUUCUUGUUGGUUUAUAGUGGAGGUUCCUUAGUCUUGUUUUGGCUUUCACAUCCUCACUUGAAGUUUAUUCUGCAUCAUGGUUGACAUAGUUCCAUAACUGAUUUUUCAGUCAUGAGGGGUCACCCAUUUUCCUUGGUGCCACUGGUGAGAGAUAUGCCCUCUGCCAGCUCUGGCUCCUCACUCCCCAGGGACUCACUUCAUGGAUCAGUCCUUACUUAAUCUGUCCCUUGGUUGCUUUAGCCAUAAUGUUCAUUGUUUUAACAACUGAUAGGGCAAGCCCAUUCACUGUUAUUUUUUCAUUGUUCUUGGCUGAUUGAAGUAUUUUCUAUACCAAUUAACUUUAAAAUCACAUUUCCAAUGUCUCCCAAAAGCCCUUGUGGUGCUUGGAUGGUGAUCACAAUGAGUUCACAAAGCAACUGAAAGUGAACUGUUUCUCUCUUUGCCUCUACUCAUCUCUUCUCCCCUACAGAGAGGGCAUCAAGACUCAUUGAUCAGUCCCAGAAGCAGUCCCAGCCAGGGACCAUGCUCAGAGGGCACUGAAGACUCCUGGACCAACCUUUGUUUCUACAGUGGCCACCAGGAUCCAUUCUGCAGUGGGUCUGGAGUUGCCACUUCCCUGGAGCAAAGGCUGCCCUACAGACCUGUCUGGUCCACUUCUGAGCAUCUGGCUCCUCCUUGUCCUUUGGACUCUUCCAGGGCUCAGCACUGUCAUAGCAAGAAGGGCUCAGCCUCAAUCCUGGCACGCCUUCCUUUUGCCAUGACACCCUUGCCUUUCUCUCAACACCAUCCACCAUCCCUGCACCUCUGGGUCUGGUCCCCUGCCUAUAUCCUUAUCACUGUAGGUCCUGGCUUCCAAGUCAUGUCUGCUAGAUUCAUGUCACCUCCUUCCAGGAAGCCUUCCUGGAAUCCAUGGAACACAAAGGGACAGUUCUCCUUCAAUGUUUGGCACUUUGCACAUCAUGAAGGUGGAAGCCUGAAGAUACUGUUUCAUUUUCCAGCCCUCAAGGAAGGGAUGGACAGAAAGUUCUUGAGGACAGAUGUUGGUUCUUCUUUUUCUUCUUUUUCUUCUUCUUCUUCUUCUUCUUCUUCUUCUUCUUCUUCUUCUUCUUCUUCUUCUUCUUCUUCUCCUCCUCCUCCUCCUCCUCCUCCUCCUCCUCCUCCUCCUCCUCCUCCUUUUCCUCCUCCUCUUCCUCUUCCUCCUCCUUUUUCUUCUUCUAUUACUCUCUAGACACUGUCAUGUGGCUAGCUACUCCUAGCCAUAAGACACUCACUGCCCUCAUGAGACUACACAGGCUUUCUUGGAAAGAACUAGCAAAAAAGAGGAUUUUCUGGGUGGCCAUGCUCCACGGACAUUCAUCAACUCAGUUGCUUCUCACAGAGGACCAACCUGAGUAGGAUUGUUCUCAUUUUAACAAUGAGGAGACUGGGCUCAGAGCAGUGAAGUCUCUCUCUUCAGGUCACAAAGCUGAGUGGCCCCUGGGCUGUGAAAGCCAACAGUGUUUCUUAAAACACCUUGAUGAUGAGUUGACACUUGCCUUCCUGGGACUCAGGUUCAAAGAGUUGACUGGUCAUCAAAGAGCGAACUGAGCCAGAAACAGAGAGAAUCAGAGACUAGCCUACAUUUGCACAGCAAGAGAACUGAGGGGGCCAGGACUGGAGGCCAAGGCCCUUAUUCCUAGGACAGACUUAUUAAACUUUUUCCUGGCAUUCUGCCAAGCUAGAGGCUGAUCAGAGAGUCAAGCUGCCACAUCGGGCUGCAAGCCUCUUAGUCUAGAUCAGCACAGUGAAGGCCUUGUCUGCAAGGCUAGUUUAUAACUGAACCUAAAGAUACCCACCGUGGCUUUGAACCCAGCAUGGGGUUGAAGCUCAGAAGCAGCCCUCAGUCUACAAAAGCACAGCACAGCACUCCCAGAGGGACCUGAACACUGGGUGUGUGUGCGGGGGGUCUUGAGUGUAGCAGGAGCACCAUGGAGGAUCUCACCUGUUGAGGAAUGAAAGAGCUAGAGAAGGUGACGGCCGACCAGAAGAAGAUGCCGCAGCUAAGGAUCACUUUCCUAUUGAAGCGAUCGCCCAGGUAGCCGAAGAUGGGGGCAGCCACCAUGAAGCUGCAGAUGAACACUGUGGAAAGAAGAGAGGAGAGCUGGAGGGUGCGCUGGUCCUGGUGAGGGCCAAGAGCAAUGAGACACAGCUGAACCUGAUCCAGACAGAGAAAGCAGCCCCAGGAGGACAAUUUUGGCUCACAAGGACCAAAUAUAUCUGGGCACAGGGGUCUUUUCUGAGACUGUUUCUCCAACCAGACCAUGUAUGAAGAGAACCUAGAACCCCUACUCAGAUGUAGCCCACAGUAGCUCAGUAUACAAGUGGGUUCCCUAGUAAGAGGAACAGGGACUAUUUCUGACAUGAACUCAAUGGCUGGCUCUUUGACCUCCCCCCUCCCACCUGAGGGAGGAGCAGCCCUGCUAGGCCACAGAGGAGGACAUUGCAGCCAGUCCUGAAGAUACCUGAUAAGCACAGAGCAGGCAGGGAGGAUGUGCAGGAUUAGAGGAUAUGGGGACUCCUUCUCUUGUAUCAUCCCAGCUCAUUCCAUAUUCUGUGAGCCUGGGAACUCUCCCUCAAACAAGGUGAUAGCCCAAGGCUUACCAUGUCACCUCCAGGAGCUUCCACCUCAUAAAUGAAGAGAAAACUCAGAGGAAAGAUGACUUGCCAAGGUCCCACAGGCAAUAAAUGUCCCAGUGGAAAUGGAAGUUUUGUAUGCCGAACCCUAGAACUGAGUCUUAGGCUUUGCCACUUGUUUUGCUGCUUGCUUUUUGAGACAAGGUUUUCUGUAACCCAAGCUGGCCUUAACUUUGCUAUGUAGCCAAGGAUGACUUUUGUUUUGUUUUGUUUUUUGAGACAGGGUUUCUCUAUGUUGCUUUGGCUGUCCUGAAACUCACUUUAUAGACCAGGCUGACCUCGAACUCACAGAGAUCCGACUGCCUCUGCCUUCCAAGUGCUGGUAUUAAAGGCGUGUGCCACCAUGUCUGGCUCAAGGAUGACUUUGAUCUUUGGAUCUCACCACUCUCUAUCCCCAAGUUAUAGGAUUAGAGGUAUGCACCACCAUACCUAGCUUAUGUGCUGUUGGAGGCCAGAACCAGGGCCUCAGGUACAUCAGGCAAGCACUCUACCAACUGAGCUACAGCCCCAGCCCACAUCGUUUGGUUGGUCUUGAGAAGGUCUCACUAUGUAAUAUAGCCACGGCUGGCAUAGAGCAUGCUAUGUGGACCAGGCUAGCCUCAAACUCAGAGUUCCUCCUGCCUCUGCCUCCCAACUGCUGGGAUUAAAAGUGUGUACCACUAAGCCUGGCCUUCAUUGCUUCAUGUAUUAUACUUGAGAAAGGGGUUAAGAGCAAUUAUUUCUCUUGUAGAGGACCCAGGUUCAGUUCACAGCAUCCAUAUGGCAGCUCACAACCAUCUGUAACUCCAGUUCCAGGGGAUCUGAUGUCCUCUUCUGACCUCUGUAGUCAUGAAGCACUCAUGCAAUGCUUACACAUGCAAAGAAACAUUCAUACACAUAAAAUUCAAAACCUUUAGAAAUACUUGAGAGAAAAAGAGAUUCAGAGAGGGUGAGAGCUCUAUCUACCUAAGGUCACUCAGCAAAUCAGGGCCAACUUGAGCCUAGACUCCAGGUCUUACAGUGCCAGGUCACUCUGCCACCCUCACUCCCAGUGGGUGGCAGGGGCUCUCCUGAACAUUAGAAACCCCGCCAUUAACUUAUUCACUCAAGCAUGCACGGAUCUUAUUCAUUCAGCAGCUGGGGGAGGGACAUGUCUUAGUUACUGUCCUAUUGCUGUGAAGAGACACUGUGACAAAGGCACAUUAUAAAAGCAAGCAUUUAAUCGGGGGCUUCCUUUCAGUGUUAGAGGAUGGGGUCCAUGAGCAUCAUAGGGAGCAUGGCAGGCAGGCAGGCAUGGUGCUGGAGCGGGAGCUGAGAACUUACACCCAAAAGUUGAAGGCAGAGAGGGUGUUAACUGGGAUGGUGUAGACUUUUGGAACCUCAAGGCCCACCCCCAUGAUAUGCUUCCUCCAAAAAGACCACACCUCCUAAUUCUUCCUAAACCGGCUGCCAACUGGGAACCAAGCCCUCAAAUCCAUAAGCCUGUGAGGUCAUCUGCAUUCAAGCCACCACACUUGUAAGUUGCCCUGGUUAUGGAUUUCUUCACAGCGACAGACUAGCAACUCACACAGGGAGCCUAGAACAUACUAACGCUAGGUGUUUGGGAUUCAUGGGUGAGUGAACACAAGAUCCCUGCUUGCCUGGAACUUCUAAGGAAGAAAAACGAAAAUAACACGAUAGCAGUAAUAACUAACAAGCUGUAUAAGAUGGUGAGGAAUUCUAAGCAGGAUCAAAGCGGGGGACAAGAGAUUAGAGAAAUGUGUCUGAAGGACCAGGGCCUGGGGAAAGGAGUAGCAAGAAGUGGCUGCUGAGCAGAUGGAUGAGGGACAUGAGCCUGCACAGACACAGAAAGGUGUACUGAAACUCAGGAGCCAAGCUCCCAGGGAAGAUCCUGCAGCCACAGGCAGAAGUAAGAAAUCCGGCAAAGGGGCCAAAGAGUUGGCUCAGCAGGUAAAGAGCACUGUCUGCUCUUCCAGAGGACCCGAGUUCAAUUCCCAGCAGCCACAUGAUAGCUCACAACCAUCUAUAAUGGAAUUUGAUUCCUUCUUCUGGCGUGUGUGAAGACAGAACACACACAGAUAUGAGAUAAAUAAAUCUUAAAAAAAAAAAAAAAGAAA